rnacentral:lncRNA from 10 species
UCUCCCUCCGCACACACGCCGCACGCUCCACACCCCGCCGUGGCCGGCUCGCCGCCCUCCCUUUCCUCUUCCGUCCGGCCUCCCCGCCCUCGGUCCACCCCCUCCGCGCGCUCGCCCACCCCGCCCAGCCCGGAUCUCUGUCAGCGGCCGGAAGGGAAACGCGAAGCCAGCGCGGCCGCGGGGGGAGUCCGGGUUGGAGUGCAAUGACGUGAUCUCGGCUCACCGCAACCUUUGCCUCGUGGGUUCAAGCAAUUCUCUUGCCUCAGCCUCUCAAGUAGCUGCGAAUACAGCUGUGCGCCACCACGCCUGGCUAAUUUUUGUAUUAUUAGUAGAGACGGGGGUUUCACCAUGUUGGCCGUGCUAGUCUCAAACUCCCGACAUCAGGUGACCCACCCACCUUGGCCUCCCAAAGUGCUGGGAUUACAGGCAUGAGCAACUGCGCCCAGCCUAGACGGAGUCUCGCUCUGUCACCCAAGCUGGAAUGCCGUGGCGCAAUCUUAGUUCACUGCAACCUCUGCCUCCUCGGUCCAAGCCAUUCUCCUGCC